AGUAAAACCUCAGAUUCAUACUAGAACCACGAUGAUUCAAUAAAAAAACCUAACCUAAAUCAAAUCAAGGAUUCCAUGAGUAAGAAUCCUCGGAUCAUCACUUAUUCCCUGAAUAAAUAGAAUGACUAAAAAUUCAAAGAAAGGUUUUGCUUUUGGUCUAAAUAGAAAUAGGGGUUGAAAGAAAAGAAUCUUUCGAUUUAGAAAUUAGAAUUCUUUGUUUGAAAAUUUUUUGGAGCCCGUACACGAGGUCUGAAUAUUAAGUAUGAAUCAUAGUUCAAAUAUUUCUUAAUCUAUUUCGUGUUCCAAAUAUUAGAAUAAAUAUCUGACGAAGUAGAACNNNNNNNNNNNGAACCACGAUGAUUCAAUAAAAAAACCUAACCUAAAUCAAAUCAAGGAUUCCCUGAGUAAGAAUCCUCGGAUCAUCACUUAUUCCCUGAAUAAAUAGAAU
rnacentral:lncRNA from 1 species